rnacentral:sRNA from 1 species
AAUGGGGGAAGGGAUUUGUGUGUGUGUUGAGUGUGUGUCCGCGCAAGGGAGGGACCUGCCCAACAUUCUGCAUGCUUCACCCUCAGCAAUGACCCACAGCUGCAGGUGGAUUUCUACACUGACAUGGAUGAGGAUUCAGAUAUUGCCUUCCAUUUCCGAGUGCACUUUGGCCAUCAUGUGGUCAUGAACAGGCGUGAGUUUGGGAUAUGGAUGUUGGAGGAGACAGCAGACUACGUGCCCUUUGAGGAUGGCAAACAAUUUGAGCUGUGCAUCUACGUACAUUACAAUGAGUAUGAGAUAAAGGUCAAUGGCAUACGCAUUUACGGCUUUGUCCAUCGAAUCCCGCCAUCAUUUGUGAAGAUGGUGCAAGUGUCGAGAGAUAUCUCCCUGACCUCAGUGUGUGUCUGCAAUUGAGGGAGAUGAUCACAUUCCUCAUUGUUGAGGAAUCCCUCUUUCUACCUGACCAUGGGAUUCCCAGAACCUGCUAACAGAAUAAUCCCUGCUCACAUUUUCCCCUCCACUUUGUCAUUAAAACAGCACGAAAACUC